GACGAACGCUGGCGGCGUGCUUAACACAUGCAAGUCGAGCGGUAAGGCUCCUUCGGGAGUACACGAGCGGCGAACGGGUGAGUAACACGUGAGUAACCUGCCCCAUUCAUCGGAAUAACCAGUGGAAACGCUGGCUAAUGCCGAAUACGACCACCGAAGGCAUCUUCUGGUGGUGGAAAGCUCCGGCGGAGGGGGAUGGACUCGCGGCCUAUCAGCUUGUUGGUGAGGUAACGGCUCACCAAGGCGACGACGGGUAGCCGGCCUGAGAGGGUGACCGGCCACACUGGGGCUGAGACACGGACCGGACGCAUACGGGAGGCAGCAGUGGGGAAUGUUGGACGACGGUCGAAAGCCUGAUCCAGCAUCGCCGCGGGAGGGAUGACGGCCUGCGGGUUGGAAACCACUUACAGCAGGGACGAAGCGAAAGAGACGGUACCGGCAGAAGAAGGACCGGCCAACUACGUG
rnacentral:rRNA from 1 species